CGGUCUGUUUCUUCCAUGUUUCUCUACCGCUCUGACUCCGCCAAGGUAGGGACGCGGGGCAUUGCCGGUAGAGGAAUUUAAUUCAAUUGUGUUUGCUGUCUUACAUAUUUGAAGUUCAAGUGGCUUAAUGAUGGAAGAAAGGACCUAUGAGUCACGUGGCACUCGUGUCUAUGUGGGUGGCCUUGGUGAAGAUAUCAAGAAAGAGGAUCUGGAAUCUGAAUUUGAAAAGUUUGGAAAAUUAAAUAGUGUGUGGGUUGCCUUUAACCCUCCUGGGUUUGCCUUCAUUGAAUUUGCAAAUGAAGAUGAUGCUGAAACAGCCUGUGAUAACCUGAAUGGUUAUGUAAUCAUGGGUUCCAAACUACGGGUGGAAAUUUCUCGGGGGCGAGGGAGGGGCAGAGGGGGUACCAGGGGGUUUAGGGGUGAUAGUAAUGGCAGAGGAUUUUUCCCUAGAGGAGGCACCCGGGGUGGAUAUGACAGAGGGGGUGGUGGGGGCUUCCGUGGACGGGGUAGUAGAAGUCCCCGUGGUGGUAGGGGCAGGUACGACGACUACGGAUCUACCCGUGGUAGCUCCUAUGGAACUCGUGACUAUGGAUCUGGCCGUGGGCGAGAUAGCUACGGCGGGGGUGGCAACGAUUACUACGGUGGUGGUGGCCGAGACACUUCGAGGUAUCGCAGUCGGUCCCCAGCAGGGCGUGGCAGGUAUUUAUCCACAUGAAUUGAUUUUCGUUUGCCAUUAUGAAGUUGUACGAUUUGUCAUGAGACUUUGCUUGUCCAUCAAAUGAGUCACGACCAUACCACAACCAUCGCAAUGUUGCUGAACAGAGAGAGAAAUCUUGGAGGCUCUUUUGCGACGUGCAGUGCAUAUUUUCCUGCAGACUUUGUUAAACAAUGCAGGAAUUUGAUUGCAAUUUUAAUCUGCGAAAUGUAUGUUUUGAAGAUUUUCUUCGCAUCGUGCUAAAGAUACAUAAUACUGUUUCUUCGCAUCGUUAGUUUCGUCAUUUGAUAAUUUUCUACUGCAUAUAAUUAAUUAAGUCAAUAUCUUCGCAAACAAGUAAUUGUUCAUCGCAGCAUGAUAGUGUGCUUCGUAAGUGGACUCUGCAUUUGUCUCAUGACAUUGAUUUUCGACCAGUAGUUUGACCCAUCCACUAUAAAUUUGAUUUUUUUAUGUCUACGAUGUAAAAUGUCAGUGUCGGUGCUACGAAUCUUGGAAAUUUUGCAGCUCCAGGGACUAUGGAAGUUCAGACAGUUACGGCUACGGUGGUGGUCGUUCAGGUGGAUACUAAACAGCGGCGAUGGUUAGAACACCAAGUAUCAGGUACAGCGAAUACUCAAUAUGUCAGUUGAAAACUAUUAUUAUUUGCAUCAUAAAUUGUCAAGUUUAUAUUACUAUAGCCUCAACAUACAUGAGAAAAAAGUAGUAAAAUAAAAAAUAUAUCUUCGCUAUUGCUUUGUUAGGUUUAAAAAUAUACCUACGUAAAUAGUAACUUCCUUUGCUUACUAAUUUUUUAGGAAUAUUUUCGUCAUGUCAGACACAAGCUUCUAAAGAGUAACACUGGUGCCAGUGAUACUUCAGUGGGAAAGAGUGUAUUUUAAAACUCCUUGCCAAAACAAUGCAUGUCACCUUCUAGAAAUGUGCGAGCAUGAUAAUUACCUGUAAGCUGCAUAUUAAAGUUUGAACCCCAAGAUUUAAUCAAACUGUACCCAUGUUAUGUCUUCGUUUUAAAUGAUGGAAUGUUCUUUCUACUUGCCAUGUUUGCAGUCCCCCAAUGGCGUCAUCGAUAUUCUGCGAGAGGUGAUUCAUGUUUCGUCGAUUAUUCAAGCAAGAUGGUAUGGUCAAGAUGGGUACUGCUGCGACAAGCACGUCGUCUGAUUUAUCGUGUAUUCUACUCCGUGUUCUUAAAAACAGUUUUUCAGCAGAAUGUCACUAAAAAUUGUUUUGAACUUAAUACUCUGUUGAAUUAAUCUUCAUUGAAAGUCUGCGAUCAGUAUGUAUUUUGAACUGAUAUUCUGAAGAAAACUUUUUCAUGAUGAAAGGAGUGGAGAGCCAGACUUCCUUUUGAUUGUGCACAUGUUUUUAUAGAAAUGCUUCACUUCGUGUAUUAAUGAUUUUCUUCAAAUUGGCCAGUUUCUGUAGUUUACGUAGAAUCCUUCAAAAGUAUCAUUUUUUGUUUUUGUAGUGCAUUAUUUCACUGGCUUUUUCAUGAAACAGAGUAAUGUGUUAGCUUUAGCUUCUUUGUUCAUUGUAUAAGACUGUAACUUUUGUAUGGAAUAGUUUCAAAGUAAAUUCGUCAAAACAA